rnacentral:rRNA from 1 species
AUUGAACGCUGGCGGCAGGCCUAACACAUGCAAGUCGAACGAGCGGCGGACGGGUGAGUAAUGUCUGGGAAACUGCCCGAUGGAGGGGGAUAACUACUGGAAACGGUAGCUAAUACCGCAUACCAUCGGAUGUGCCCAGAUGGGAUUAGCUAGUAGGUGGGGUAACGGCUCACCUAGGCGACGAUCCCUAGCUGGUCUGAGAGGAUGACCAGCCACACUGGGACUGAGACACGGCCCAGACUCCUACGGGAGGCAGCAGUGGGGAAUUUUGGACAAUGGGCGCAACCCUGAUGCAGCCAUCCCGCGUGUGUGAAGAAGGCCUUCGGGUUGUAAAGCACUUUCAGCAGGAAAGCGUUACCCGCAGAAGAAGCACCGGCUAACUCCGUGCCAGCAGCCGCGGUAAUUC